UACGUAGGAUGCAAGCGUUGUCCGGAAUUAUUGGGCGUAAAGAGUUCGUAGGCGGUUGCCUAAGUCUGGUGUUAAAUACAGGAGCUCAACUUCUGCAUGGCACUGGAAACUGGGCGGCUAGAGUGUGGUAGAGGUCACGGGAAUUCCAGGUGUAGCGGUGAAAUGCGUAGAUAUCUGGAGGAACACCAGUGGCGAAAGCGGCAUCCUGGUCUGCGACUGACGCUGAUGCGCGAAAGCAAGGGGAGCGAACGGG
rnacentral:rRNA from 1 species